rnacentral:rRNA from 1 species
UACAGGGGGGGCAAGCGUUGUUCGGAAUUACUGGGCGUAAAGGGCUCGUAGGCGGCCAACUAAGUCACACGUGAAAUCCCCAGGCUUAACCUGGGAACUGCGUGUGAUACUGGAUGGCUUGAAUCCGGGAGAGGGAUGCGGAAUUCCAGGUGUAGCGGUGAAAUGCGUAGAUAUCUGGAGGAACACCGGUGGCGAAGGCGGCAUCCUGGACCGGCAUUGACGCUGAGGAGCGAAAGCCAGGGGAGCAAACGGG